CAGGACGAACGCUGGCGGCGUGCUUAACACAUGCAAGUCGAACGAUGAACUGGAGCUUGCUCCAGGGAUUAGUGGCGAACGGGUGAGUAACACGUGAGUAACCUGCCCUUGACUCUGGGAUAAGCGCUAGAAAUGGCGUCUAAUACCGGAUACGAGCUUCAGCCGCAUGGCUAGGAGUUGGAAAGAAUUUUGGUCAAGGAUGGACUCGCGGCCUAUCAGCUAGUUGGUGAGGUAAUGGCUCACCAAGGCGACGACGGGUAGCCGGCCUGAGAGGGUGACCGGCCACACUGGGACUGAGACACGGCCCAGACUCCUACGGGAGGCAGCAGUGGGGAAUAUUGCACAAUGGGCGAAAGCCUGAUGCAGCAACGCCGCGUGAGGGAUGACGGCCUUCGGGAUGUAAACCUCUUUUAGUAGGGAAGAAGCGAAAGUGACGGUACCUGCAGAAAAAGCACCGGCUAACUACGUGCCAGCAGCCGCGGUAAUACGUAGGGUGCAAGCGUUGUCCGGAAUUAUUGGGCGUAAAGAGCUCGUAGGCGGUUUGUCGCGUCUGCUGUGAAAUCUGGGGGCUCAACCCCCAGCCUGCAGUGGGUACGGGCAGACUAGAGUGCGGUAGGGGAGAUUGGAAUUCCUGGUGUAGCGGUGGAAUGCGCAGAUAUCAGGAGGAACACCGAUGGCGAAGGCAGAUCUCUGGGCCGUAACUGACGCUGAGGAGCGAAAGCAUGGGGAGCGAACAGGAUUAGAUACCCUGGUAGUCCAUGCCGUAAACGUUGGGAACUAGAUGUGGGGGCCAUUCCACGGUCUCCGUGUCGCAGCUAACGCAUUAAGUUCCCCGCCUGGGGAGUACGGCCGCAAGGCUAAAACUCAAAGGAAUUGACGG
rnacentral:rRNA from 1 species